UACGUAGGGUGCAAGCGUUUGUCCGGAAUUAUUGGGCGUAAAGAGCUCGUAGGCGGUUUGUCGCGUCUGCUGUGAAAACGCGAGGCUCAACCUCGCGCCUGCAGUGGGUACGGGCAGACUAGAGUGCGGUAGGGGAGAUUGGAAUUCCUGGUGUAGCGGUGAAAUGCGCAGAUAUCAGGAGGAACACCGAUGGCGAAGGCAGGUCUCUGGGCCACUACUGACGCUGAGAAGCGAAAGCAUGGGGAGCGAACAGG
rnacentral:rRNA from 1 species